GAAAUGCGAUAAGUAAUGUGAAUUGCAUAAUUCCGUGAAUCAUCGAAUCUUUGAACGCACAUUGCGCCCCCUGGCAUUCCGGGGGGCAUGCCUGUCCGAGCGUCAUUUCUGCCCUCAAGCACGGCUUGUGUGUUGGGUGUGGUCCCCCCGGGGACCUGCCCGAAAGGCAGCGGCGACGUCCGUCUGGUCCUCGAGCGUAUGGGGCUCUGUCACUCGCUCGGGAAGGACCUGCGGGGGUUGGUCACCACCAUAUUUCACCACGGUUGACCUCGGAUCAGGUAGGAGUUACCCGCUGAACUUAAGC
rnacentral:misc_RNA from 1 species